GCACUCACUUCGGCAGCAUAUAUACUAAAAUUGGAACAAUACAGAGAUUAGCAUGGUCCCUGCAGAAAGAUGACAAACAAAUUCAUGAAGUGUUCCAUAAGAAA
rnacentral:snRNA from 1 species